rnacentral:rRNA from 1 species
GACGAACGCUGGCGGCGUGCCUAAUACAUGCAAGUAGAACGCUGAGGUUUGGUGUUUACACUAGACUGAUGAGUUGCGAACGGGUGAGUAACGCGUAGGUAACCUGCCUCAUAGCGGGGGAUAACUAUUGGAAACGAUAGCUAAUACCGCAUAAGAGUAAUUAACACAUGUUGGUUAUUUAAAAGGAGCAAUUGCUUCACUGUGAGAUGGACCUGCGUUGUAUUAGCUAGUUGGUGAGGUAAAGGCUCACCAAGGCGACGAUACAUAGCCGACCUGAGAGGGUGAUCGGCCACACUGGGACUGAGACACGGCCCAGACUCCUACGGGAGGCAGCAGUAGGGAAUCUUCGGCAAUGGACGGAAGUCUGACCGAGCAACGCCGCGUGAGUGAAGAAGGUUUUCGGAUCGUAAAGCUCUGUUGUUAGAGAAGAACGUUGGUAGGAGUGGAAAAUCUACCAAGUGACGGUAACUAACCAGAAAGGGACGGCUAACUACGUGCCAGCAGCCGCGGUAAUACGUAGGUCCCGA